ACUUAAAUUGAAGAGUUUGAUCAUGGCUCAGAUUGAACGCUGGCGGCAGGCCUAACACAUGCAAGUCGAGCGGCAGCGGGAAAGUAGCUUGCUACUUUUGCCGGCGAGCGGCGGACGGGUGAGUAAUGCCUGGGGAUCUGCCCAGUCGAGGGGGAUAACAGUUGGAAACGACUGCUAAUACCGCAUACGC
rnacentral:rRNA from 1 species